CGGGGAAUAUUGCGCAAUGGGCGAAAGCCUGACGCAGCAACGCCGCGUGAGGGAUGAAGGCUCUCGGGUUGUAAACCUCUUUCAGCAGGGACGAUUGUGACGGUACCUGCAGAAGAAGCUCCGGCCAACUACGUGCCAGCAGCCGCGGUAACACGUAGGGAGCAAGCGUUGUCCGGAUUUAUUGGGCGUAAAGAGCUCGUAGGUGGUUCGGUAAGUCGGGUGUGAAAACUCUGGGCUCAACUCAGAGACGCCACCUGAUACUGCUGUGACUUGAGUCUGGUAGGGGAGUGUGGAAUUUCCGGUGUAGCGGUGAAAUGCGCAGAUAUCGGAAGGAACACCAGUGGCGAAGGCGGCACUCUGGGCCAGUACUGACACUGAGGAGCGAAAGCGUGGGUAGCGAACAGG
rnacentral:rRNA from 1 species